UUGACCUCGGAUCAGAGGGAUACCCGCUGAACUUAAA
rnacentral:rRNA from 1 species